UGGGGAAUUUUGGACAAUGGGCGAAAGCCUGAUCCAGCAAUGCCGCGUGUGUGAAGAAGGCCUUCGGGUUGUAAAGCACUUUUGUCCGGAAAGAAAUCCUUGGCUCUAAUACAGUCGGGGGAUGACGGUACCGGAAGAAUAAGCACCGGUUAACUACGUGCCAGCAGCCGCGGUAAUACGUAGGGUGCAAGCGUUAAUCGGAAUUACUGGGCGUAAAGCGUGCGCAGGCGGUUUGCUAAGACCGAUGUGAAAUCCCCGGGCUCAACCUGGGAACUGCAUUGGUGACUGGCAGGCUAGAGUAUGGCAGAGGGGGGUAGAAUUCCACGUGUAGCAGUGAAAUGCGUAGAGAUGUGGAGGAAUACCGAUGGCGAAGGCAGCCCCCUGGGCCAAUACUGACGCUCAUGCACGAAAGCGUGGGGAGCAAACAGGAUUAGAUACCCUGGUAGUCCACGCCCUAAACGAUGUCAACUAGUUGUUGGGGAUCAUUUCCUUAGUAACGUAGCUAACGCGUGAAGUUGACCGCCUGGGGAGUACGGUCGCAAGAUUAAAAC
rnacentral:rRNA from 1 species